rnacentral:lncRNA from 1 species
CAAACUUUUCCACUUCCAAUUAUCUUGACCUAUUAUUUCCCAAACAAAAAAUAAUAAUAAUUAUCCACAAAAAAUAAAGCACAAAGUGUAAACUUCAAUGAAUCACAAAAAACAGUACAAAACGCAAUAAAAAAAAUUAUCACAAAAAAAAAAAAUAGUCACAUAAAAAAAAAAUUGGGGUUGCAACUGUUAGAUCCAAACACGAUCAGAAAAAAAAAUUACAAAAACAAAUCCCACAUAAUAAUAAGACUUUAACACUGAUACAUAAACAAAUUAAACUAUUAUUCACAUUUGAAAUUCCAAGUUUAACAAAUUUCAAACUCAGUACAACUAGUAUUCAAAAAUUACACAAAAAUAACGCAAAAACGAAACGAUCCAUAGUAGUAUUUGAUUACAAACAUAGCAAAAUCAAACACAAAAACGCCAAAUACUAUAGAAAAUCAGUAACAAUAACAACAAAUAAUUCAAUUCAAUGAACGGAUCAAUAACCAAAAAUCACAAAAAUGAAUAUAAAAACAGAAAAAUCAGUACUCACAACUUGAAAGAGAAAGUGAAUAGCUCUGAGUUUGAACUUAUCGGCGACGGUAACGGCGAGAUUCCGGUGAGGUGAAGUGGAGAAACGCGAAGUGAUGAGAGAGAGAGAGAGAGAGAGAGAGAGAGAUUUGAGUUACGGAGAAUGAAAGAACAAAAUAAGAACGGCAACUGCAACGAUUUUUGGUUUUAUUAUUAUUUAUAUUAUUAUUUAUUUGUUAG